GCCUAUUUAUAAAUCUCAUAUGAUGAGGCCAACAGCUCUCUUCAAGAGCUCUCCGUGGAGGGGGCUGUGUGGAAAGUGGUAAGUUCACUGUCACUGGAGAUUUUCACAGUGAAAAUCUGUGACAAGCAGGGUGAGAGCCUGUUGGGAGUGCUGUGGAUGAGAUUCUGGAAACAAAAGACUUAGCCACAUUUUCUGAGAUCCCAUCUAAGUGAAAGCCCUGACUAUUUACAAAGCCAGGGGACAUUAUUGCUGAUGAAACCAAUCAGGCGUGCUACUUUUACACCCAGUGAGUUAUAGGGAGUGGCAUUCAUGAAGAGGCUUGCAAUACAUCCAGACCCUGAAGCAUCUGCAGGCUACUGCCUUGUCUGCCAAGGCGUUGGAGAAACCAUGGCGUGAACACCACCAGAAGUUAAGUCUGAGCCUUUAAUAAGCAGAUCGGAUGGAGUCUUGCUCUGUCACCAGGCUGGAGUGCAGUGGCAUGAUCUCAGCUCACUGCAGCCUCCACCUCCCAGGUUCAAGCGAUUCUCCUGCCUCAGCCUCCCAAGUAGCUGGGACUACAGCCCGAGUGGCCAUGCUCCCAGGCUGUCCUUCCACAGCCACACAGCCCAUCAAGGCAUUCUGCUCAAUGAAGACUUUUCCUUCCUCUGAAAGAGACUUUCCUGCUAAACAACUUUUUUCCUUACUACAAUCUGAUUGCAGUAAGCAAGGAUGGCAUAACAUAGCCAUCCAAAUAAGUUGAAGACUUUUGCCCACACAAAAACCUGCACACUGAUUCAUAUUUGCCAACACUUGGAAGCAACCAAGAUGUCCUUCAACAGAUGAAUAGAUAAACAAAAUGUGGCACAUCCAGACAAUGGAAUAUGAUACAGCAGGAAAAAGAAAUGAGCUCUGGACAUUCUGGAAAGGUAAAACUAUAGAGAUCAUAAAAAGAUCAUCUCUUUGAAGUCUGGGUAUUUGGUAAAAACAAAUCAGUGGUUAACAGGGGCUUGGAUGGGGGAGGGAGGGAUGAAUAGGUGGUGCACAGAGGAUUUUUAGGGUAGUGAAAUGAUUCUGUUUGAUAGUGGAAUGGUGGAUACAUGGCAUUAUGCAUUUGUCAAGAUCCAUGGGACUGUAUAUCACAGAGUGAAUCCUAAUGUGAACUAUGGACUUUAGUUAAUAAAAGUGUUCCUGUAUUGGUGCGUCCAUUUUAGCAGGUAUACCCCACUGAUGCCACAUGUUCCUAGUGCUGAGAAGAGACCCUGCUCAGGGUAUGCUCUGACUUUUUCUCUCAGCAUGGUCAGGCUUCCCUUACCCCUUUCUGCCACCCACCUGCCUAUCUGCUGCUGAGGUGGCUGGUGGCCCCUUUGUUACUCACGUAACUGUUUGUGGGGCCUUCACGUGUUUUUACAGAAGCCCAGUGACACCCCAAACUCAGGGGACCUAACAGCUUUCCAUGGGCCUGUGGCCUGGGGCAAUUCUACCUUCCUAUCUGAAAAUGUGGUGGUCAGACCACUGCUAUUUAAGGGUCCUCUGUUCUGAACCCUCAGUAACCCCAUGGUUGGGGAUCCCCCUGUCUUGCACAAUGAGAGGAUUGGGAGGAUGAUUGUCUUCCCAUCAGUUAUUUCCACUUCAGUGCUGUGCAGCCUUCUUGCUUAAAUGGCUUGCUUAAUUCAGUUCCCAGAAUAAACCUUUGUGUACAUCCUGAAUUACAUGACCUAUUAAUAACAAAAAUAGCCACCUUAAUGAAAAGUACUUUGCUGACCUCAUAUCAUCUCUGAAUACCAUGUGUUAUUAGUCACAUUUUAUGGAUUGGAAAACUGAAGCUCAGAGAGGUUAAGCAACUUGCCCAUGGUCACACAGCAAAUAUUGGCAGAGCCAGCUUUCAAAUCUAGGUUUUUCUGAUCCCAAGGGCUUUCUACACUCCACUCCUAGUGUAAACGCUAGGAGGAUCACGUUUAGUUGCUUUUAAAGGGUUAUAUUUUUUUUAAUGAGGAGGCUGGUUUUUAGGAGUUUCAGUAGAAAGGAACGAGCUUAAAAGUUAAUAAAAUCAUCAAUGCUUGGAUACAUUAGAAAAGAGCAUGAAGUCAGUGGGGUGGAGGGAGAGGAAUUCAUAUUUGCUAAGGGGACUUCUCUGAAUCUUGAAGCAAUUCUAAAUACAGUUCUUCAGAAACUGCUACUAAUCAUUAGAGUAACUAGCAGUUACUGAUCAUAUACCAUGUUUGAGACUGCAGUCAUCCCACUGAAUACACAUUAUUUUGCAAAUUCUCACAACCUCAUGAAGUCAGUACUAUUGGGAGCCCAUUUAACAGAUAAGCCAACUGAGGUUGGUUAAGUCCUUGUCCAUAUGCCCCUGUAUAUGAGGGAGCAGGUGUGUUCAGGGAAUGCCAGCACUUCCUUCUGUUUUAAUCUCUUUGGCCAUCUGAUUGUUUUAUGUAUUUUCUUUCUAUCCUGCUGGAUGUUUGUUUCAUAAGGGUUGUAGUUAUCUGUCUGGUUCACCCCUACAAUCCUAGCUACUUGACAAACUAUGCAUAGAGACUCCAGAACUAGUUUUUGAAUAAGUGAAUGGGAAGCAUGGUAUUACUUCCAUUUAAGGUUCUGGGCCCAUCUUGUGUAAUAGGAAAAUGAAGAGCCUCAUAGGAAUACAGGGGAUACUGGGGUAGGACUUUCACGGGAGGUUGAGGCAUUUUCAGAACUUUAGUGGCUAGUUUGAAAUGAGUUUUGUGGCGCUGAGGGGAAGCUUCAGCUACUUCUUCUCUUGUCUUCUCGCUGCCCUCUGGCCCAGUUCUUUUCCAGGUUCCUCCAGUGCAGGUCAGGAUGGAGACCCUAUCCCAUAACAAGGGCAGAGCCCUGUAGAAAAUUUCACCCAUCAUUUACCUUCUUAGAACUGCCCUGUUCUCACUGCACAUGGACAGAGAGAGGACUUAGAGCUCAUUUACAUGCUUGUUGUUGGUUUUUUAAAAAGUGAAAUAAAAAUGCUCCUCUGCCAGGACUGUGAUGUCAGCCAGGGCUGUGAUUAGCUGGAAACAGGUGAGUAGAUAAAAUCAAUGUUAAAAAUUAUUCACCAUUCAAUGUUCAGAAAAUUCCGGAAUGUGGCAGUCCGCUUGAUUGAGGAGGAGUUCAGAAUUCAUCCAGGGUCACCAGCAAUCAGUUCUAAUAUAACUAACAUUUUCAAAAUGUUAAUAUCUCACUUACUGUGAUGCUAAGGACAGUAAGUGUGCUGCAUUUACUUAUCCACUUCGUUUUAUCAUUUGUAAGUAAAAUAUGUUUGCCUUUACCUCACCCACCAACCCCUAGGUUUUUUGAGGUAUAAUUGGCAAAUAAAAUUGCAUAUAUUCAAGGUGUACAACUUGAUAUUUUGAUAUAUGUAUACAUUGCAAAAUGAUUACUGCAAUCAAGCUAAUUAAUAUAUGCUUUACCUCACAUAGUCAGCAUUUUCCUCCUUCCUUCCUUCCUUCCUUCUUUCCUUCCUUCCCCCCUUCCCUCUUUCCUUUUUUUGGUAAGAGUCUCUCUUGACGUCUCCAGCUACUAUUGUACUGGGGCCUAUCUUUCUCUUAAGCUCUAAUAUUUGCCUUAUAUAUCUGGAUGCUCCAGUGUUGGGUGCAUAUAUAUUUAAAAGUGUUAUAUCCUCUUGCAGAAUUGACUACGUAAGAACACUUGAGAUCUACACUUUUGGCAGAUUUCAAGUAUGCAAUACAGCAUUGUUAACUAUAGUUACAUUGCUAUACAUUGGACAUCUGUCUGCUUUUAUAUGUGUGAAUUAUUUGGUUUUACUGAAAAUAUAUUAACAUUGCACAAGA